GAAAAAUGAACGAAAGGGUGGCACAACGAUGUGGCCUUAAAAAAUUUGCACAAAUCUUGCAUAAGUUUUGCACAUGCACUUUUUCCAAUUGGCUACCCACUUUUCAAAAGCUCACAUGGGGUAGGAAUCCAAUUUUUCCUUCCCCCAAUUUUUAUUCUAUUAUACAUAUAACAAAAAGUCAAAAAGGGGAGGAAAGAAAGGGGAUCUGAGAGAGAAGAAAAAAGAGAGGAAGUUAGAACUAAGGACUAAGACCAGAGAGAAUAAAACGCAACACACAAAAAAAAAACUACAAAUGGAUCUUAUCUUUUUCCUGGGGAUAGACCAUUCAUAACACUCAAUUUUUCAUCAUUAAAAUCACCUCUAAAACUCCAUAACCCAAUAAAUUAACACCACUGCCAAAUACUACUACUUCUUCACAAAAUCCAAUUGGGAGCUCAGCUAAAAAUCAACCAAUUUUUUUUUACCCAAAAGCAGUCCCUAAAUCAACACUCCAAACCCAGCAAAAGAAAAAUAAAAUAGUCCAUAAAUUACAACUUUUAAACCUGAAAUCAAGCUAAAAAAAACCCAGCUAUAGCAACACCAUAAAACAACCUUUCAAUCACCGUCGUUAUUAGAGUUUCGGUCGAGGUUCAGUCACCGGCGAGAUUUUCAACCACUGAUUUCGGUUCGAAGCCGGCUUUAGUCUUUAAAGUUUCAAAGGGUGUUGACAUCAUAGUCUUUGACGUAAAGGUCCACUUUUACUCUCAUUGUAAUUCUUCUGUUUCCUUUAAUAAUCAUAAAUUGGUAAGCAUUAUUAUUAAUAUUUUAGUGCUUAAAUUUAUGCUCUACUGAACAAUGUCCUCUAUGUUACUGUUCUGUUAGCUUGAUGUGAUUGUAUUAUUGUUUAAAGUAUUUCCAUUUUAGGAUUAUCUCUAUGCUUUUUUAAUUUCUUUUUUUUAAAAAAAGAAAGAAAAAUUUUAAAAUAUAUUUUAUUAGUAUAUUUUUUGUUAGUCUAAAGACUUUCUAUAAAUAAAUAUUGAAUAUUUAGUACUUUAAUUUUUUGGUUAGUAAGAUGUAGUAUUUUACACUAUUUACUUAUUAUUUCUAAAUAAAUAAAUAAAAAAGAGUAAAAAGAAAAAUGAACGAAAGGGUGGCACAACGAUGUGGCCUUGAAAAGUUUGCACAAAUCUUGCAUAAGUUUUGCACAUGCACUUUUUCCAAUUGGCUACCCACUUUUCAAAAGCUCACAUGGAGUAGGAAUUCAAUUUCUCCUUCCCCCAAUUUUCAUUCUACUAUACAUAUAACAAAAAGUCAAAAAAGGAGGAGGAAAGAAAGGGGAUCCGAGAGACAAAAAAAAAGAGAGGAAGUUAGAACUAGGGACUGAGACCAGAGAGAAGAAAAUGCAACACAAAAAAAAAAAUACUACAAAUGGAUCUUAUCUUUUUUUCGGGGAUAGACCAUUCAUAACACUCAAUUUUCCACUAUUAAAAUCACAUCUAAAACUCCAUAACCCAAUAACUUAACACCACUGCCAAAUACUACUACUUCUUCACAAAAGUCAAUUGGGAGCUCAGCUAAAAAUCAACAUAUUUUUUUUUACCCAAAAGCAGUCCCUAAAUCAACACUCCAAACCCAGCAAAAAAAAAAAUAAAAUAGUCCAUAAAUUACAACUUUUAAACCUGAAAUCAAGCUAAAAAAACCCAGCUAUAGCAACACCAUAAAACAACCUUUCAAUCACCGUCGUUAUUAGAGUUUCAGUCGAGGUUCAGUCACCGGCGAGACUUUCAACCACUGAUUUCGGUUCGAAGCCGGCUUUGGUCUUUAAAGUUUCAAAGGGUGUUGACGUCAUAGUCUUUGACGUAAAGGUCCAC
rnacentral:lncRNA from 1 species